ACGCACGCUGGCGGCGUGCUUAACACAUGCAAGUCGCACGGAAAGGCCCUGCUUUUGCGGGGUGCUCGAGUGGCGAACGGGUGAGUAACACGUGAGUAACCUGCCCUUGACUUUGGGAUAACUUCAGGAAACUGGGGCUAAUACCGGAUAGGAGCUCCUGCUGCAUGGUGGGGGUUGGAAAGUUUCGGCGGUUGGGGAUGGACUCGCGGCUUAUCAGCUUGUUGGUGGGGUAGUGGCUUACCAAGGCUUUGACGGGUAGCCGGCCUGAGAGGGUGACCGGCCACAUUGGGACUGAGAUACGGCCCAGACUCCUACGGGAGGCAGCAGUGGGGAAUAUUGCACAAUGGGCGGAAGCCUGAUGCAGCAACGCCGCGUGCGGGAUGACGGCCUUCGGGUUGUAAACCGCUUUCGCCUGUGACGAAGCGUGAGUGACGGUAAUGGGUAAAGAAGCACCGGCUAACUACGUG
rnacentral:rRNA from 1 species